AACAAUAAACUAUGUCAAUUAAAAAUUCAUAACCAUAGAUACAUAAGAGUACUCACAUAUUUCUUACGACCAUAUCCCUCAUCAUCAUCACCACGCCUCUCAGAACCAUAGCUCGGUUUCUCCUCAUCAUCACUCCUUCCAUAGCUAGUUUUCCUCCCAUAGCUUGGCUUCUCCUCGUCAUCACUCCUUCCAUAGCUAGGUUUCCUCUCAUACUCAGUCCUCCCAUAGCUCGGCUUCUCCUCAUCAUCACUCCUUCCAUAGCUAGGUUUCCUCUCAUAUUCACUCCUCCCAUAGCUUGGCUUCUCCUCCUCAUCACUCCUCCCAUAGCUUGGCUUCUCCUCCUCAUCACUCCGUCCAUAGCUAGUUUUCCUGCCAUAGCUCGGCUUCUCCUCCUCAUCACUCCUUCCAUAGCUAGGCUUCCUCUCAUACUCACUCCUUCCUCCUCCAUACCCUUCUUCCUCCCCAUAACCACUCUUCUUCCUCCCCGAUCCAUACUCCGAUUCACCACUCUCAUACUCAUUCUUCCGCCCAUAACCCUCACUCUCCUCCUCAUUCUUUCUCCCACCAUAACCAGACCCAUAUCCAGAUUCUUGCUUCCUUCCACCAUAACCAGACCCAUAACCACUUUCCUCAUUCUUUCUACCAUAUUCAGACUCCUGGGCCCCACCAUAUCCUGACCCAUAUCCAGAUUCUUGCUUCCUCCCACCAUAACCAGACCCAUAUUCAC
rnacentral:lncRNA from 1 species